AUGCAUGUUUUUAAGAAGGGUCUGUCUGUGUUGCAUCUAGAUGUGAGAUACUAUCUCACAUCUAGGUGUGACGUCACUUACGAAAACAAAGACAAAACACUCCUGAUCCCGAUCCCCGCGCGUGACUUGUUUGUUUUGUUCUCGGCCUGCAUUGUUUUGUUCGUCCCACCCAACCCACCCAGUCCAGCUACCUGUCUGCUGGGCCUUGUUUAUGGCCUUUGUUUGUUCUGGGCCUUGUUUGUUGCUCUUUUUUUCUGCCAACACAGCCAGCCCAACUACCCCACCUCCUGCGCCUUGUUUGUGGCCUUUGUUUGUUCUGGGCCUUGUUUGUUGCUCUUUUUUUCUGCCAACACAGUCAGCCCAACUACCCCACCUCCUACUUUUUUGCCUGUUUGUUUGUUCUGGGCCUUGUUUGUUGCUCUAGAAAAAGGUUGCUAG
rnacentral:rRNA from 1 species